rnacentral:lncRNA from 1 species
AUGUUGUCCCUGGAAGGUGGUACAGAGGUGACAUUUUGGUCACGUCUUCAUACCAGGUGCAUAGAAAGAAGAGAAGAGGCUCACGUGGAAAGGAAAGGAUGGAGUUUCACGAGAAUUCAUGAGAUAAAAUGCCCAAUGAUUGGCCAAGCUGCUUCCCAAAGUAUCACCGUUUUUGCACCUCCCAAGCAAAACCUGCAGGCACUUUAUAUGGAUCCAAAAGCCCAGGUCAGCCUGGGCUUCCAAAAUUAACAGCUCAACCACUGACCAUCCAACGGAAAAACAAAACCAACAACCUUAACGAAACGUUGGCAAAAACCUGAAUAGACCUUUCCCUAAACCAGAUACACAGAGGGCAAACCACCGGGGAGAAUGAACAGCAUCGCUAACUGAUAGAGAUUUCCAAAUCAAAAUGCUGCUGAGGUAUGGCCUCGCCCCUCUCCGAAUGGCCAUCUUCAAAUAAAAAAACCCUGGAGAGCAUGUAGAGCAAAAAUGCCCUACUACAUUUUGGCUGUUAGGCAAAUGUGUAAAACCACUGUGGACCACAGGAUCUUGAUAAUCCGAAAAAUAAACAUAGAACCACCGUAUGACCCAGGAGUCUUACUCCUGUGCAUAUACCCAGAAAAUGUCCUUUUCACAAAUGGAAAUGCAAUGCUAUAUUCAUGCAGCACUAUUCACAAUAACAAGACACGGAGACACAUUCUAUGUCCAUGAGCAGUGGAUUGGAUUAGGCAGAGGAUGUCC